GUCUGCAGCCAUACCACCCUGAACACACCAGUUUAUCCGAUCUUGGAAGCUAAGGAGGGCCAGGCUUGGUUAGUACUUUGAUGGGAUGUAUGCACCAAGUGCUAGAGGUG
ensembl:rRNA 5S_rRNA 5S ribosomal RNA